UACAGAGGUCCCAAGCGUUGUUCGGAUUCACUGGGCGUAAAGGGUGCGUAGGCGGUUGGGUAAGUCUGAUGUGAAAUCUCACAGCUUAACUGUGAAACUGCAUUGGAUACUAUCCAACUCGAGGAAUGGAGGGGAGACUGGAAUACUUGGUGUAGCAGUGAAAUGCGUAGAUAUCAAGUGGAACACCAGUGGCGAAGGCGAGUCUCUGGACAUUUCCUGACGCUGAGGCACGAAAGCGUGGGGAGCAAACAGG
rnacentral:rRNA from 1 species